UUUGCAGAUAGCAACUGUGAAAUAACGGGACAGGGGUGGAGGGUAAUAGGUGCCUAUAUAAGAAAAAGUCCCCCAAAACGGGACUGUCCCUUUAAAAACGGGACAUCUGGUCACCCCAUUUAAAGGUAUGUAGCAUAUUAAACACUCCCAUUCCUCCCCCCCCCCCCAUGCAACUGUGGAGCUCUGGGAGACAUUGUGCCACUUGGUGUGGCCCCUAGAACAGAGCAGCUUUGCACUGCCCCUCAUUACAGGCUGGGCUUAACCAGUACAAUUUAAUUCUGCAGAAGACUUUGUGUGCCCCAGUAAAUGUGUGUAAUUAAAAGCAAAACAAAACUCAUUUUUCAAUUAUUUAAUUGGAAAGAGCUUGUAUUCAGAGAAUUGUGUUUAACACUUUUGGUGUGAAAAAUUCACUUGUUAAAUAGUCUGGGCACCACUCUGACUAAUUUACUUAGCUAUUGCCCAUGGUAAGAAAAAAACACUUGUUUUUAUAUGUGUUACUAACAAAGCAACUAUAACUUCAGAAAUGCCACUUGAAAAUGGAUGAUUGUUUUCUGAAGAAACUAUUCUCAACAUUAAAUACUGAAAAGAGUUAAAAAUGAUACAGUGAAGGAGGAUACAAAUAGAAUGGAGAGGGGGACUAACUGCAUUCAUCACUUGCAACUGUGAAAUCUCUGUGGAUUGUGCAUGUUCCAUAAUGGUCAGUGGUCCACGUCUGCACAAACAGAGUAAUCCUGCACAGUUUGACAUUUUAUGCUUAUAAUGAGAGGCCCAAGGUUGAACUGGUAGAGUGAGUGAACUGCUUCUCACCUUACAGAAGGGGUCUGUUUAACUCAGGGUUGAGGUCACUGUCAGGGCAAUGUAUAUAAACAAAUAGUUGCUGCCUUUACUAUACAGAGUCUAAAUUGGAGACUUUGGUUCCUAGUGGAACCCAGCUGUUCAUCUUUAAGAGCACAUGAAGUCUGAAUUAAACCCAAGAGGAAACUGCACAUGCUUUUAAUGCAAUUAAACUAAGCAAUAGAAUUUAAAAGGUCCAAUAAAUAAUUUUCUUUCUAAUCAAAACUAAUCAACUAAUCAAAAAUUCACCAGAAUAUUUUCCUGGAAUAUUUAUCUAAUGGAGAUCAGUCAAAAAUAAGAUGUAGAAAUUCAAAGACAAGUAACGUGCCUGAAAAAUGUGCAUUUAAAAUAUUAUUUGAUUACUUAAUUUGGUUUCAGAAUGAUUUUAAAGUUUACAGAUACAUCCACCCUACUGAAGAUCAUUUUGUAUGUUGCCUUCCUUUCCAGCCACUGCUUUCCAUUGACCCUAUAUGUCUGUUUAGGAUACUGCCACCUGGCAAUAUCGCUUCGAUUUUUUCUUCAAAAUGUAUCUCUUUCAUUUGUGUGUGCUGCAUUUUGUCUGAGAGCCCUCUUAUUUCAACUAGCAUGAAUUGUGUCAAUAAGGAAAAGAUAAGCAAACAAAUCACAUGUCUGCCAUCCUUAUUCAUUUUGACUACUCCUCAGGGAAUAAGGUACUACUCAGCAUACAGGACAAAAGUGAUAAAAAAGAAGACUGGAAAAUACAAGGUUUGAAGGCCAAUUUUCAUACAUAGAUACAGACUUGGAUUUAGGCCCCAACCUGUAGCCCUUAUGCACAUGAACACUGCCAUUCAAACUAGUGGGAGUCUGGCUUUAGUAAACAUUUCUGGAUCAGGCCCUUAGAGCACAAGGAUCUUUUGGAGUCAAAAGCUUAUGUGUAACAAUUUAUUGUUGAUCCACAUUACAUCUACCUUGUCACGAGUACAAAUACAGUACGGCUGCAAACAUUUUCCAGGGUUGUAAAUCUAAAAUUCUUUUCCAGUGAGCAGACAUUAGUUCUUUCAACUACAUACAUGUUUUUAAUAGGACCAACUCAUACAGUCCUGAAUCUUUUGUCAGGCAAAAUGUCCAUUGGCUACAAUAAGAGUGAGGAUUUCGGAAUCUCACCCUUUAGGAUUAAGGUAAUUAUGGAAACAGUAUUUUCCUCCCAGAAUAGCAUGCAUACAAAUCAAGAUUAGAAUCACUGUUCCAACUCAAAGCAUUACAGUGAAUUGUGCUUUUUAUUCUGGAAGGCUUUAUUCCUAAAUUAAGCUCCAGCUAACAUUAACAGUUUCUGAAGCCUGCUCUAGAUUAAGAAAAUUCUUCUUGGGGGAGGGUUUGCUGAAAACACAGUUCCCCCUAGAGGUUGAAAAGAUGAAAGAACUUAAUAUUGUCUGUAGUGCAAAUAAAUUCCUACUUUUGGGAUUUUUAAAUUCAUUCCCUGUUUUCCUAUACAGUUUUAUUUUAUUUUUAUAUUGUACCUUAUGGAUGUGUUAUUGGUUCAUUAUAUAUCUUGGUGUAUCUUUUUGUAUUUUUUUAUAUUUAUAAGUAAACCGCAACAAAGAUUUUAAAAGAAGAUACUGCAGCAUAAAAUCUCAUGAGGGACAAAAGUCAUGCCAGAAAAUUAAAUGAAACAAAUUAGAAAAUGUAGAUGUAUAAUAAUAAAUACUUUGUGGUUCUACAGGGACUUCUAUCUGCAUACCUCCAAGUGCCUGACAGAUUAACAAAUUAAGCCUCACAACACAACAACCCUGUUAGAAAGGUUGCGUGAACAAAAAGAGGAGAAAAAAGGGGUAUUGCAGUUGUCCUACCCACACUGUCAUCCACAGACCUCUGAGCCCAGGUGUUUGCAAAUUGAUGGAUUAAUUAUUUGCACCAUUAUCUUUCCGAGUACUGAUGUUAAGCUGACUGUGGAAGAAGAUGGAAAGGGGGAGACCAGUGGGAGCUUCAUACCGAGACGUGUGUGUGUAAAUACAGAAGCCACUUGGCAGGGGAGGUGAGGAGAAAUAUUAAAGGGAAGCUGUGCUACGCAGAUUAGGCUAAAAGGAUCCCCCAAAAGAGGCUAGUACAAGUGGGUGGCCUGGAGACCACACCAGCACCCCCCAAACUACUGUGGAUACCCUGGCGGACCACAAGACAGAAACUCCUGCUAAACAGCAAGGAGGAGGAGAGGAGGAGGCAGACAUGGGGACUCCAGCCAUGCCAUGAGCCAGGACCUGUUUGAUAGCCCUCAACAGUCCAGCCAGCCAAACAUGGAUGAGACCUAUGAAGGGGAAGGGACUUUUGCAGCUGCUGCCUUUGCAGUCUUGAAGGGUGCCUCCUCCACAUCUGUAGAAUGCAAGACCCUGGUGAGGCAAAGAAAGAAGAUGACAAAGGAGGGCAUGUUCUGCGAGAUCCUGCAAGCCAGUGCUGCAUCAGACCUUGAAUGAAGGACCUGGAGGACCAAUAUGAUCGACAGCAUUGAGAAAGGCUCAGGGGUCCCAGUAGGAAAAGGACAAGGAGAUGUACCAGGAUAUAAUGGGUCUUCUCAGGCACCAAGCCCAAAUGUUGCAGACCCUGGUUGACCUAUUGGUUUAAAAAUCAGACUCUCCACCCUUUACAAUCCUCAGAGAACUCCAUGGUAGCAGUUCAUUACCCCUCCCAACAUACCAGGUGACAUCACAGUGCACAUAAAUAUCCCUAACACUCCACACCAGGGGACAGCAAGGAAAACCAUCACUUCAUAAACACUGACCUGUGAGAACCAUGGCAGGUGUAUGUGUAGCUACAAGGCACUACAUUUGUGGACUGAUAUGGACAGAAAUGUUUGCUGCCUUUCCAAUUUUUAAGUUCUGUAACUCUGUUAAAAGUUUGUGUUGCAUUGCCUUUUGCACGUUUUUCUUUUGCCCUGGUUUUGCCACUUGAUAAAUUUCUAUUGUUAAAAAAUAAAAUUAUUUUUAUUAGCUUGCAA